UUUAGCUCAGGGGUAGAGCGUUUGCCUGGCAAGCACAAGGCCCUGGGUUCGAUCCUCAGCUUAAAAA